rnacentral:rRNA from 1 species
GUAUUAGUUAGGUUCUUGAAACCCAGAGGAUUUGGCGGUACUUUAGUCUUUUCAGAGGAACCUGUUCCGUUAUCGAUAUUCCACGAGGUGUAAUUACUUGCUUUUAUUAAUUUGUAUACCUCCGUCAUAAGAGUAUCCUUUUAGGGGUUUAAUAUUCUUAUUUUACUAAAUUUAAGAUGUCAGGUCAAGGUGCAAUUUAUAAGUAAGAGGAGAUGGGUUACAAUAAAUUUAUUUAUAUGAAUUGGGAUGUUUAAUUUCUCAUGAAGGUGGAUUUGAUAGUAAUUUUGGUAACUAAUUGAUUUGAUUUAAGCUCUAAAGUAUGCACACAUCGCCCG